GAUGAACGCUGGCGGCGUGCUUAAGACAUGCAAGUCGAACGAAGAGCUUGUAGCAAUACGGGCUCUGAGUGGCGAAUGGGUGCGUAACACGUAGGUGACCUGCCCUGAAGUGGGGAAUAACAGUCCGAAAGGACUGCUAAUACCCCAUGUGGUCCUGGAGGUUAGAGGCUCCAGGUCUAAAGCAGCAAUGCGCUUCAGGAGGGGCCUGCGGCCCAUCAGCUAGUUGGCAGGGUAACGGCCUACCAAGGCAACGACGGGUAGGGGACCUGAGAGGGUGACCCC
rnacentral:rRNA from 1 species